rnacentral:rRNA from 1 species
CAGUCGCCACGGGAAUACGUAGGGUGCGAGCGUUAAUCGGAAUUACUGGGCGUAAAGCGGGCGCAGACGGUUACUUAAGCAGGAUGUGAAAUCCCCGGGCUCAACCUGGGAACUGCGUUCUGAACUGGGUAACUAGAGUGUGUCAGAGGGAGGUAGAAUUCCACGUGUAGCAGUGAAAUGCGUAGAGAUGUGGAGGAAUACCGAUGGCGAAGGCAGCCUCCUGGGAUAACACUGACGUUCAUGCCCGAAAGCGUGGGUAGCAAACAGGAUUAGAUACCCCGUAGUCCCUGUCUCUUAUACC